ensembl:snoRNA LOC120100419 small nucleolar RNA SNORA17
AUUGCCCUUAGAGGCGUUGUAGGUAUGUCUGCUGUGUCACAUGUGCAUCUGUAGGUGGCAGGGAGAAGGAGGGCUGUGUCAACAUUCAGUGUUCUGACCUAUGAACAUCUUAAUGAUUAGUAGCCUAAUAUU